rnacentral:rRNA from 1 species
GACGAACGCUGGCGGCGUGCCUAAUACAUGCAAGUCGAACGCAGUGGGGACGGGUGAGUAACACGUGGGUAACCUCCCAUCAGAGGGGAUAACACUUGGAAACAGGUGCUAAACCGAUACUGAUGGAUGGACCCGCGGUGCAUUAGCUAGUUGGUGAGGUACCGGCUCACCAAGGCCACGGUGCAUAGCCGGCCGGGGUGGGGGGUCGGGCACCAUGGGCAUGGGGCACGGCCCAGACGCCUAAGGGAGGCAGCAGUAGGGAAACUUCGGCAAGGGAAGAAAGGCUGAACGGGCAAAGCCGCGUGAGUGAAGAAGGUUUUCGGAGCGUAAAACUCUGUUGUUAGGGAAUCGGUAUCAAAACAGGAAGCCACGGCUAAAUACGUGCCAGCAGCCGCGGUAAUAC